CCCUUCGGGGAGCUUGGAGACAGGUGCUGCAUGGCUGUCGUCAGCUCGCGUCGUGAGAUGUUGGGUUAAGUCCGCAACGAGCGCAACCCCUAUUGUUAGUUGCCAUCAUUCAGUUGGGCACUCUAGCGAGACUGCCGGUAAUAAACCGGAGGAAGUGGGGAUGACGUCAAAUCAUCAUGCCCCUUAUGACCUGGGCUACACACGUGCUACAAUGGUUGGUACAACGAGUCGCGAGUCGGUGACGGCGAGCUAAUCUCUUAAAGCCAAUCUCAGUUCGGAUUGUAGGCUGCAACUCGCCUACAUGAAGUCGGAAUCGCUAGUAAUCGCGGAUCAGCACGCCGCGGUGAAUACGUUCCCGGGCCUU
rnacentral:rRNA from 1 species